CCUACGGGAGGCAGCAGUGGGGAAUAUUGGACAAUGGGGGGAACCCUGAUCCAGCCAUGCCGCGUGUGUGAAGAAGGCCCUCGGGUUGUAAAGCACUUUCAGUGAGGAAGAACGCCUGGUGGUUAAUACCCAUCAGGAAAGACAUCACUCACAGAAGAAGCACCGGCUAACUCCGUGCCAGCAGCCGCGGUAAUACGGAGGGUGCGAGCGUUAAUCGGAAUUACUGGGCGUAAAGCGCGCGUAGGUGGCUUGAUAAGCCGGUUGUGAAAGCCCCGGGCUCAACCUGGGAACGGCAUCCGGAACUGUCAAGCUAGAGUGCAGGAGAGGAAGGUAGAAUUCCCGGUGUAGCGGUGAAAUGCGUAGAGAUCGGGAGGAAUACCAGUGGCGAAGGCGGCCUUCUGGACUGACACUGACACUGAGGUGCGAAAGCGUGGGUAGCAAACAGGAUUAGAUACUCCAGUAGUC
rnacentral:rRNA from 1 species